UGGGGAAUUUUGGACAAUGGGCGAAAGCCUGAUCCAGCAAUGCCGCGUGUGUGAAGAAGGCCUUCGGGUUGUAAAGCACUUUUGUCCGGAAAGAAAUCCUUGGCUCUAAUACAGUCGGGGGAUGACGGUACCGGAAGAAUAAGCACCGGCUAACUACGUGCCAGCAGCCGCGGUAAUACGUAGGGUGCAAGCGUUAAUCGGAAUUACUGGGCGUAAAGCGUGCGCAGGCGGUUUGCUAAGACCGAUGUGAAAUCCCCGGGCUCAACCUGGGAACUGCAUUGGUGACUGGCAGGCUAGAGUAUGGCAGAGGGGGGUGGAAUUCCACGUGUAGCAGUGAAAUGCGUAGAGAUGUGGAGGAAUACCGAUGGCGAAGGCAGCCCCCUGGGCCAAUACUGACGCUCAUGCACGAAAGCGUGGGGGGCAAACAGGAUUAGAUACCCUGGUAGUCCACGCCCUAAACGAUGUCAACUAGUUGUUGGGGAUUCAUUUCCUUAGUAACGUAGCUAACGCGUGAAGUUGACCGCCUGGGGAGUACGGUCGUCAAGCUUAAAACUUAAAUGAAUUGACGGGGUCAA
rnacentral:rRNA from 1 species